rnacentral:sRNA from 1 species
UUGAGAGCCCUGAAGACAAGUCCAGUUUAUACACAGCCCAGGUACAGUACAAGCAGCGGCAGUGUAAGGUUCCCCACACUCACCAGUGAGGGUCUGGUCUGGAGGGACUACCUCCAGGAACAAGGGGAAGUUCAGUUUCCAGGCCCAUUCAAUCCUGGGCCGCC